rnacentral:lncRNA from 1 species
UGGGCAAGUCCCUGCUUGUGUCAUAGCAAAGCAAGUUAUCUGGUCAAACACAGAGUCAAGAGUUGAGGAGGUUUACCUUACCAGAGGUGGCAGGGGUAACUGUGAAGUCAACAGUGUAUCAUUUAGAGUGUGAUUAGAAAACCAGAACAAUAGUGAGUGAUAUAGCAUAAGGGAUUUAUUACAGGGAUUAAAAUUUAUGCAAUUGUGGGAGCUAGUUAAGAAGCCCAUGUAAGGCUGUUGCCUCUAUAUCUGAUGUUGGACCCGAGGUAAUCAGGGCCAGCAGUUGGAGAAGAAAGUUAGACAUAAUGUAGUUAGAACAAACGACUGGGAUCCAUAUUAGUCUCUAACUGUCCUCAAAUCUGAAGACAUGAGUGACUUGCAGGAGAAGUUGGUGCCCUUGGUGUGUGUGGUGAGCUGCACAUAGACCUGGCUCAGGAGCUACAGAAGGUGAAGGAGGAUUUCCAACAGGAACUGGAAGACCUGUGGGGCUGGCCAUGUCAACAAGAGGAGACAGCAAGUCAGUGGGAAUGUGGGUGAGCUGCAGCAGUGCAUGCCCCACACCCACCUUCAGAGUGUGGGAAAUGGCUAUUUUACUUCCCUAUUCCAAAACUCCAUGAAAUUUUUCUUGUGGCAAACUUCAUCCAGAACCAGAUAGAGAAGGACAUUUUUGGAAAUGUAGUUCCAGUUUAAGCUGACAAAGCAAAGCUGCCACCCACAAAAAGGGUGUGGAUUCUGGAAGGGGUCAAAUGUUUGUGCUGAUAAUGCAAAUUACCACAUAUAAGAGCUGUAGAGAAAUUGAGUCAAUGCACAAAAGAAGUACUUGCAUGUCACUACCAAUUAUUGCUUAUUGAAACUGAAGAUUUCAAUGCUCCUCAUCAACUUUAUAAAUCUUGCCUCUACCAUCUCUGAAGAAAGCAACACAUGUGGAUAAUAGUGGGACUGUGAGACAGAAGACGGUGGAAUGAUAUUGGUUUCCCUGUAAGUUUCUCACCAUCCUGCAGCCUUCUGAGGGAUAAUCUCUUGUUGGCCUGAAUAACCUCUCACCAGGAACUUAAACUUCCUAAAAAAUAUUAAAAGAAGGCUGGGCAUGGUGGCUCAUGCCUAUAAUUUCUGAGCUUUGGGAGGCUGAGGCCAGAGGAUCCCUUGAGGGCAAGAGUUUGAGACCAGCCUGGGCAACACAGUGAAAUACCAUCUCUACAAAAUAAAAACAUCAUUUAAAAAAAUUAGCCAGCUGUGGUGGCAUGCACUUGUGGUUCCAGUUACCUGAGAGACUGAGGCAGGAGGAUUGCUUGGGCCCAGGAGUUUGAGGUUCUAAGCAAGCUAUGAGUGUGCCACUGCUCUCCAACCUGGACAUCAGGAGACUGAGAAGUCUGAAAAUCUGCAGUCAGCAAGCUGAAAAUGUAGGAGACAUGGUGAUAUAAAUUCCAGCCUGAGUAAAAAAGCUUCCCAGAUGAUGCUGAGGCUGAUGUUGCUGGUCCAUGGACCCCCAUUUUGAGAGAGGUCUCACCAUGAACCUGGCGAUGGAUGAGAAGAUAUUUCUUUCCCCCCAUACCAGCCCUCACCACCAACUGACUGCAAAAACUUGAGAGACCGAGUGAGAAUUGCCCAGCUCAGCCCAGUUAGCUCCUAGAACCAUGAGAGAUAAAAAUAAA